UACUGAGUCCCCCAGCCUCCAGGAAUGUGAGCUCGGGAACCCCCAACCUUCUGAAAUCUUUAACCCCUAUCAAGCAGGCGGCGGCCCAUCGGUUCUUCUGGGAGGCAAGGACUGAUAUCACACAUCCAUUCAAGAGCCCUUCUUAAACCUCUGACUGAAGGCCAUUACAGGGAGGGGAUUAAUCAACCAGAGGCGCACUAGAAUCUCUAAGAGGCAGUCAGGGUAGGGCGACGGAAACGGUUCUGGACGAGUCCUGAUUUCGAUACUUCGCGCCCCGUGGGUCAAGUCAAAUCUCUCCUUCAUGAGGCCAGAGGCAGCUUGGUGCUUUGGAAAAAGCCAGGAUCUGGAAUCGGGAGCAGGCUUUCUAUCUGCCACCUGACCUUAGGGAAAAUUACUUUGUCUCAGUUCCCCCAUCUAUAAAAGAGGAAAUGACAGUAUAUAGGUAAGUACUACUAUUGUCCCAAAUUGUUUUGAGGACCAAAUAAGAUCAAUCAAUCAACAUUCACUUAAUCAACACUUCACAACAAUUAAUAAUAAUAACAAAUAACAAAUAAUAAAAGGACAAAAAAUGGAAGUCUCUGGCCUCA
rnacentral:lncRNA from 1 species